AAUCUGAUGGUGAGGGCAACUGGCACAUAAUUUUUUAAAUCUCUCCCAGUAUUCAUAUAGGCUCUCUCCACUGAGUUGUCUAAUCAGGGAAAUUUUUUUCUAAGAAU
rnacentral:snoRNA from 1 species